rnacentral:rRNA from 1 species
UGGGGAAUAUUGCACAAUGGGCGAAAGCCUGAUGCAGCAACGCCGCGUGAGUGAUGAAGGUCUUCGGAUUGUAAAGCUCUGUCUUUUGGGACGAUAAUGACGGUACCAAAGGAGGAAGCCACGGCUAACUACGUGCCAGCAGCCGCGGUAAUACGUAGGUGGCGAGCGUUGUCCGGAUUUACUGGGCGUAAAGGGUGCGUAGGCGGAUGUUUAAGUGAGAUGUGAAAUACCCGGGCUUAACUUGGGUGCUGCAUUUCAAACUGGAUAUCUAGAGUGCAGGAGAGGAGGAUGGAAUUCCUAGUGUAGCGGUGAAAUGCGUAGAGAUUAGGAAGAACACCAGUGGCGAAGGCGAUUCUCUGGACUGUAACUGACGCUGAGGCACGAAAGCGCGGGUAGCAAACAGGAUUAGAUACCCUGGUAGUCCACGCCGUAAACGAUGAGUACUAGGUGUAGGAGGUAUCGACCCCUUCUGUGCCGCAGUAAACACAUUAAGUACUCCGCCUGGGAAGUACGAUCGCAAGAUUAAAACUCUAAAGUGAAUUGACGGGGGUCAUA